GAGCGGUAACAGGUGUAGCAAUACAUGCUGACGAGCGGCGAACGGGUGAGUAAUGCUUCGGAAUCUGCCCAAUGGUGGGGAAUAACCAGCCGAAAGGUUGGCUAAUACCGCAUAAGUCCUACGGGAGAAAGCAGGGGAUCGCAAGACCUUGCGCCGAUGGAUGAGCCGAAGUCGGAUUAGCUAGUUGGUAGGGUAACGGCCUACCAAGGCGACGAUCCGUAGCUGGUCUGAGAGGACGACCAGCCACACUGGGACUGAGACACGGCCCAGACUCCUACGGGAGGCAGCAGUGGGGAAUAUUGGACAAUGGGGGAAACCCUGAUCCAGCGACGCCGCGUGUGUGAAGAAGGCCUGCGGGUUGUAAAGCACUUUUAGUGGGGAUGAAAAGCUCAGGGCUAACACCUCUGGGUCUUGACCUAACCCACAGAAAAAGCACCGGCUAACUCUGUG
rnacentral:rRNA from 1 species